GCUGGAGCAGCCCACAAAGGAUUCUGGAAGAACACAGGCAGCAUCUAUGAGGAGGAAAGAACAGUGAAUGUUUCAGGCUGCUAAAAUAAUUCUGUAUGCCUGUGAAGCAGCUUCGGACAAUAAUGCUUUCAAGGCACUUCCUUAUUGUGUGGAACUCUUUGAAGUUUCAACAGCCAGAAAGAAACAGGCAGCUCAGUACAAUCUAGUCCUGCUUGAAAUGAUGGCGUCCUGUAUCCUUCUUCC